UACGAAGGGGGCUAGCGUUGUUCGGAAUUACUGGGCGUAAAGCGCACGUAGGCGGUCUGUUGCGUCCGCUGUGAAAACUCGGGGCUUAACCCCGAGCCUGCAGUGGAUACGGGCAGACUAGAGGUAGGUAGGGGAGAAUGGAAUUCCCGGUGUAGCGGUGAAAUGCGCAGAUAUCGGGAGGAACACCGGUGGCGAAGGCGGUUCUCUGGGCCUUACCUGACGCUGAGGAGCGAAAGCGUGGGGAGCGAACAGG
rnacentral:rRNA from 1 species